rnacentral:tRNA from 1 species
GUCCCCAUAGCUCAAUUGGAUAGAGCAUCACUUUGCGGAAGUGAGGGUUGUGUGUUCAAAUCACGCUGGGGACG